rnacentral:piRNA from 1 species
UAACCUACCAAAGGCUAGCCCAUUCCUAUCU